rnacentral:rRNA from 1 species
AGCGUGGGGAGCAAACAGGAUUAGAUACCCUGGUAGUCCACGCCCUAAACGAUGCACACUAGUUGUUGUGAGGCUCGACCUUGCAGUAAUGCAGUUAACACAUUAAGUGUACCGCCUGGGGAGUACGGUCGCAAGAUUAAAACUCAAAGGAAUAGACGGGGACCCGCACAAGCGGUGGAGCAUGUGGUUUAAUUCGACGAUACACGAAGAACCUUACCUGGACUUGACAUAGUAAGAACUUUCUAGAGAUAGAUUGGUGUCUGCUUGCAGAAACUUAUAUACAGGUGCUGCACGGCUGUCGUCAGCUCGUGUCGUGAGAUGUUGGGUUAAGUCCCGCAACGAGCGCAACCCUCGUCAUUAGUUGCUAACAGUUCGGCUGAGAACUCUAAUGAGACUGCCUACGCAAGUAGGAGGAAGGUGAGGACGACGUCAAGUCAUCAUGGCCCUUACGUCCAGGGCUACACACGUGCUACAAUGGGGUAUACAAAGAGCAGCAAUACGGUGACGUGGAGCAAAUCUCAAAAAUAUCUCCCAGUUCGGAUUGUAGUCUGCAACUCGACUACAUGAAGUUGGAAUCGCUAGUAAUCGUAGAUCAGCUAUGCUACGGUGAAUACGUUCCCGGGUCUUGUACUCACCGCCCGUCACACCAUGGGAGUUGAACUCAUUCGAAGCGGGGAUGCUAAAAUAGCUACCUUCCACAGUGGAUUCAGCGACUGGGGUGAAGUCGUAACAAGGUAACCGUAGGAGAACCUGCGGUUG